UCACAAAGAAACUCACAAAAAAAAUAGCGAACCCUAGCUCUCUUUCUCCCUCCUUAAUGAUCAACGACAGUUUUCUAGUCGAAGACCCCUUUCCUCGAUUCGGAUCACCUCCUCUCCCACUCUACAUCUCUCGGUCGCGUGUAACGGACUUAACAUUUAACGCGUAGAAGUACGUAAUCAUAAACCGAGCAAAACUAAGGUCGUUAGAUACCUUGGUUUGGGAACUUGGUGUCUGGAGUAGCUGGAGUGGUCAUGGGUCGACUGGAGGGAUUCAUGUGAUUGAUUAUUGAUACUAUACAUUGGUUUUGAACAAUUUAACUUUGGUUUACUAAUUGCUUCCGCUGAAUAUGUUGGCUUUCAUUUAAACUUGUUGAUGGGACAUUCCUUAGGUGGUAUUUUGGGGGUGUGACAUAAGUUCCAUGCCGCUCUCGAGUGAUUCACUAAAAAAAAAAUACACCUUCGGCCGAGUGUUGAGUGAUCUCCCGUGAGGUAUGUGAACUUGUAUAUAAAUGGAAUUUUAAUAAGGCAUGCUAUGCCCGAAUAAGUAAUUUAUCCUGUGAAACGUUCUAAAUAAAUCAUAACGAAUAGGAUUGUAAAUAAAUAAAAAUAAAACUUACAAAGAUCUUGGAUUCCCGACACUCUAUGACAAGCCAAAAACUUUCUCUUCUACCUAUUCCAUUUGGGAGUGUAAGCCACAUUUAAAGAGUUUUGCUUGAGGACAAGCAAAAGUUCAAGUGUGGGGGUAUUUGAUGUGUGUAAAAUGCAAC
rnacentral:lncRNA from 1 species